GGAGUCCCUGCUUUGACUCUGUUUGCAAACUCUUGUUUCAUUGUUUAAGCGAUUAAAUCUCUCGAGUAGACGCUGUCUCUUUAGAUGCGAGGGCAAAAUAGCACUUUAUGGACUUACACGGAGGACAUCAUGUUUAAUACGGUUCCGGAAAAAUCAGUCAGAAGUUGUUCACGGAGUUUUCACAAUAACUGCUGCUCAUGAACCGAAGCUGCGCGACGUCUCCUGCUGAAAGUUGGAUUACUGUGCACUUCUGGAUCACAGGCUAUUCACAGCAGGACACAUCCUUCUACACUGUAUGCAAACAUGCAACAUCAUUACACACAGUACAAGGAGUUAGACUGGCAUAUGAGGAGCAAAGGAACCCAGGCAGUAGCAUCGUUUCACAAUGUUUCCAUCACCAUCAUCAGUGGAUGCCUUUGCCGUCCGUAGCCUGAGAUUUCAGAUUUGCAGCAAAAAAUGUGACUUUCCCAUUUAUUGGAAUGCUGUGCAGCCAUCCAUUACAAUGUCACCAAGCCGUAACAAAAGCAGGAGAGGGAAAGUACAAGGCUAUGUUCCCAAAACACACAAGUGACAUACCGUAAGCAGUAAUGUUUUAUUUCAAAUACAUUCAUAAUUAAAAACUUAAUGUAUGAAGCAGGGAAAUAAAUUAUCAAAACAAAAGAUUUAUUGACUGCAAUAUUUGUACAGUUAUGUGGAUGAUGUGAUCAGGCUUGUGUUUGCUGAGGUAUUUGAAGAUAAGCUGAAGGAAACCCCGAUUCCAAUGGACCUGGCAUCACAGUUUGAGAGACCUUCAAAGGAGGACGUGAUUGCAUGCCAUCUUCAGUGCAGGGGUCGUCGGAAGCCAACAUUCUGAUCAGGAAGCUACAAGCAUAUCUGGAGAACAACACACGACAGGAUGAUAACCCUAAAGUGUCAUCUUAGAUAGCAUCAGCUGACAAAGCUUUGAUAUGCCAUUUAUCUGAAUAGAUAGCUGUAAGAAGUGAAUUGAACAAUUUUUGAAAGACGAGCACAACAUGGUUACUAAAGUAUGUUUAUUUGUAUAUUGUUUAACAUUUAAAUAUAUAUUUGUAAUAAAUAAACUUUUGA